AUUGAACGCUGGCGGCAGGCCUAACACAUGCAAGUCGAGCGAGCGGCGGACGGGUGAGUAAUGUCUGGGGACUGCCUGAUCGAGGGGGAUAACUACUGGAAACGGUAGCUAAUACCGCAUACUAUCCGCUAGCCCAUAUGGGAUUAGCUAGUAGGUGGGGUAAGGGCUCACCUAGGCGACGAGCCCUAGCUGGUCUGAGAGGAUGAUCAGCCACACUGGAACGGAGACACGGUCCAGACUCCUACGGAGGCAGCAGUGGGGAAUAUUGCACAAUGGGCGCAAGCCUGAUGCAGCCAUGCCGCGUGGAUGAAGAAGGCCUUAGGGUUGUAAAGUACUUUCAGUCGGGAGGCGUUACCGGCAGAAGAAGCACCGGCUAACUCCGUGCCAGCAGCCGCGGUAAUUC
rnacentral:rRNA from 1 species